UGUCCGGAUUUACUGGGUGUAAAGGGCGUGUAGCCGGGAGGGCAAGUCAGAUGUGAAAUCCACGGGCUUAACUCGUGAACUGCAUUUGAAACUGUUCUUCUUGAGUAUCGGAGAGGCAAUCGGAAUUCCUAGUGUAGCGGUGAAAUGCGUAGAUAUUAGGAGGAACACCAGUGGCGAAGGCGGAUUGCUGGACGACAACUGACGGUGAGGCGCGAAAGCGUGGGGAGCAAACAGGAUUAGAUACCCUGGUAGUCCACGCUGUAAACGAUGAAUACUAGGUGUGCGGGGACUGACCCCCUGCGUGCCGCAGUUAACACAAUAAGUAUUCCACCUGGGGAGUACGAUCGCAAGGUUGAAACUCAAAGGAAUUGACGGGGGCCCGCACAAGCGGUGGAUUAUGUGGUUUAAUUCGAAGCAACGCGAAGAACCUUACCAGGGCUUGACAUCCUACUAACGAGAUAGAGAUAUGUUAGGUGCCCUUCGGGGAAAGUAGAGACAGGUGGUGCAUGGUUGUCGUCAGCUCGUGUCGUGAGAUGUUGGGUUAAGUCCGCAACGAGCGCAACCCUAUUGUUGGUUGCUACGCAAGAGCACUCUAGCGAGACUGCCGUUGACAAACGGAGGAAGG
rnacentral:rRNA from 1 species